rnacentral:rRNA from 1 species
UACGUAGGGCGCAAGCGUUGUCCGGAAUUAUUGGGCGUAAAGAGCUCGUAGGCGGUUUGUCGCGUCUGCUGUGAAAACCUAAGGCUCAACCUUGGGCUUGCAGUGGGUACGGGCAGACUAGAGUGCGGUAGGGGUGACUGGAAUUCCUGGUGUAGCGGUGGAAUGCGCAGAUAACAGGAGGAACACCGAUGGCGAAGGCAGGUCACUGGGCCGCAACUGACGCUGAGGAGCGAAAGCAUGGGGAGCGAACAGG